AGCGAACGCUGGCGGCAGGCUUAACACAUGCAAGUCGAGCGGGCAUAGCAAUAUGUCAGCGGCAGACGGGUGAGUAACGCGUGGGAACGUACCUUUUGGUUCGGAACAACUGAGGGAAACUUCAGCUAAUACCGGAUAAGCCCUUACGGGGAAAGAUUUAUCGCCGAAAGAUCGGCCCGCGUCUGAUUAGCUAGUUGGUGAGGUAAUGGCUCACCAAGGCGACGAUCAGUAGCUGGUCUGAGAGGAUGAUCAGCCACAUUGGGACUGAGACACGGCCCAAAAUCUUACGGGAGGGAGCAGUGGGGAAUAUUGGACAAUGGGGGCAAGGCUGAUCCAGCCAUGCCGCGUGAGUGAUGAAGGCCCUAGGGUUGUAAAGCUCUUUUGUGCGGGAAGAUAAUGACGGUACCGCAAGAAUAAGCCCCGGCUAACUUCGUG
rnacentral:rRNA from 1 species